GACGAACGCUGGCGGCGUGCUUAACACAUGCAAGUCGAGCGAUGAAGCACCUUCGGGUGUGGAUUAGCGGCGAACGGGUGAGGAACACGUGAGGAAUCUGCCUUUCACUUCGGGAUAACUCCGGGAAACCGGGGCUAAUACCGGAUAUUUUCAACUGGCGGCAUCGCCGGUUGAAGAAAGUUUUUCGGUGAAAGAUGACCUCGCGGCCUAUCAGCUUGUUGGUGAGGUAAUGGCUCACCAAGGCGACGACGGGUAGCCGGCCUGAGAGGGCGACCAGCCACACUGGGACUGAGACACGGCCCAGACUCCUACGGGAGGCAGCAGUGGGGAAUAUUGGGCAAUGGAGGAAACUCUGACCCAGCGACGCCGCGUGAGGGAUGAAGGCCUUCGGGUUGUAAACCUCUUUCAGCAGGGAAUAAGCGAAAGUGAAGGUACCUGCAGAAGAAGCACCGGGUAACUAUGUGCCAGCCGCCGCAGUAA
rnacentral:rRNA from 1 species